rnacentral:rRNA from 1 species
UACGUAGGGGGCUAGCGUUGUCCGGAAUCAUUGGGCGUAAAGCGCGUGUAGGCGGCCCGGUAAGUCCGCUGUGAAAGUCGGGGGCUCAACCCUCGAAUGCCGGUGGAUACUGUCGGGCUAGAGUACGGAAGAGGCGAGUGGAAUUCCUGGUGUAGCGGUGAAAUGCGCAGGAUAUCAGGAGGAACACCAAUUGCGAAGGCAGCUCGCUGGGACGCACUGACGCUGAGACGCGAAAGCGUGGGAG